AUCAACUUUCGAUGGUAGGAUAGAGGCCUACCAUGGUGGUAACGGGUAACGGGGUGUUAGGGCACGACACCGGAGAGGGAGCCUGAGAAACGGCUACCACAUCCAAGGAUGGCAGCAGGCGCGCAAAUUACCCAAUCCCGACACGGGGAGGUAGUGACAAUAAAUAACAAUACGGGGUCCUUUAGGGUUUCGUAAUUGGAAUGAGUACAAUUUAAAUCUCUUAACGAGGAACAAUUGGAGGGCAAGUCUGGUGCCAGCAGCCGCGGUAAUUCCAGCUCCAAUAGCGUAUAUUAAAGUUGUUGCAGUUAAAAAGCUCGUAGUUGAAUUUCGGGAUCAGUAUGUUGGUCGUGCCUUGGUACGUACUGGUGUAACUGAUUCCUCCCUUCUGACGAACCGUCAUGCCAUUAAUUUGGUGUGGCGGGAAAUCAGGACUGUUACUUUGAAAAAAUUAGAGUGUUUAAAGCAGGCUCGCGCUUGAAUACAUUAGCAUGGAAUAAUGAAAUAGGACGUUGUUCUUAUUUUGUUGGUUUCUAGGAUCGACGUAAUGAUUAAUAGGGAUAGUUGGGGGCAUUAGUAUUCAAUUGUCAGAGGUGAAAUUCUUGGAUUUAUUGAAGACUAACUACUGCGAAAGCAUUUGCCAAGGAUGUUUUCAUUAAUCAAGAACGAAAGUUAGGGGAUCGAAGACGAUCAGAUACCGUCGUAGUCUUAACCAUAAACUAUGCCGACUAGGGAUCGGAUGAUGUUAAUUUUUUAAUGACUCAUUCGGCGCCUUACGGGAAACCAAAGUGUUUGGGUUC
rnacentral:rRNA from 1 species